ACCAGGGUAUGUAACGUUGAGUGAAGGGUAUGGAUGUGAUCUGUAUUCUGAUAGCGUUACGCGUGGUGCAUGGCCGUUCUUAACACGUGGGGUGACUUGUCUGGUUAAAUCCGAUAACGCGUGAGACCCUGGAAAUUGACGAUACUUGACAAGAGUAGGGAAGCUCGGGUCGAUAACAGGUCUGUGAUGCCCGUAGAUAUUCUGGGCGCCACGCGCACUACAGUGGGAGAGGAUACGUGAAACGGAACUCUCUUGCGGUUGGGAUUGACGUUUGUAAAUACGUCAUGAACGCGGAAUUCCUAGUAAUUUGUUGUCAUUAACGACAGAUGAAUGAGUCCCUGUUCUUUGUACACACCGCCCGUCGUUAUCUAAGAUGAAUGUGCGGAUGAAGUUGGUUAGGCCAAAAGAAUCCGUGCGAUUAGAUUGGAUACAAGUCGUAACAAGGUUGCGGUAGGAGAACCUGCCGCAGGAUCAAUAAAAAGAUCAUUGGGUUUUUAUAAUGUGGGUAACACAUUGCGUUCGAAGGAUCGAUUGGUUUUGGUGACGAUGACGAUUGUUGCUGUAUGCGAUAAUGAGUGACAACAGCCUAGUUUAACUCGUUAUCUAAUUAUAGAUGUGAUCUAUGAUUACCCUUGGACUUAAGCAUAUCAUUAAAGGGAGGAAAAGGAAACACAGUGAUUUCGA
rnacentral:rRNA from 1 species